rnacentral:antisense_RNA from 1 species
CCCUUUUCCCGUGAUGGCUGUAGUGAGUGGAUGGGCUUUCCCGAUUGACCCGCUGGGAGUAGAAAUGUGGUUUACAGCUUCUAUCAGGAUUAGCUUCAGCUUCAAGUGACAAAAGUCCAAAAUAUGAGUUGCUGAAACAAGUCUCUCCCCUCAACAGGACUGUUACAACACAUUAUCUUCAGAGAACCAGGCUCUCUGCAACAUUUCAUGGUCAUCGUUCAGUACCUUAUGUGAAAUUCAAGUUUAGCUGGGCAUCCUGUAUUUUAAUUGGCUAACUCGUGGAACUCAACUUGGAUCAAGUGGCACUGGAGUCCCAGGGAUUCUGAGCAGCCAGUGUGUAAUACUGCCUGGCAGCACACCCUGGGGAGGCCAACUGUACAGAAUAAAAUUAAUGCUUUCUAUCUUUAGCAACUAAAGUUCUGAAAUAUAAAAAGGACCUCACAGCUUAACCCAUGUUAUAUGGUGGGGUUUUCCCAUGAACAUCACGCGUUUCCAGCUGGACACACCUGCAGCAUGGCUAAGAUGACAACUCAAGUUUCCUGGGAGUGGGGGUUCCUGGGAUGUGAACCUUUCGGUGCAAAAACUGGAGAAGUUCCAGUUGGGACCUCAGGCAUAGAUACCAGGAUAAAUAGGGCCUCUCUCCUCCAGGAGCAUCAAUUUAACCCAAAGAUUCUUGGAGUCAGUUUCACAUAAGUAAUGUUGCUAAAAAUAGUAAUCCCAACAGAUCUAUUUUUCCAAAUGCACCAUUUGCAUAAAUCUCAGAAAAAAGACAACUUCAAGAACAUACCUUUGCUGGGCACCGUGGCUCACGCCUGUAAUCCCAACUACUUGGGAGGCUGAGGCAGGAGGAUCACUCGAGGCCAGGAGUCUGAGAUCAGCUUGGGCAACUGAUUUAUGGUUUGGAUUUGUGUCCAUGCCCUUCUUCUUCUGCCAUAAGUUUCCUGAGGCCUCCCUAGCCAUGCUUCCUGUACAGCCUACAGAACUAUGAGUCAAUUAAACCUCUUUUCUUUAUAAA